rnacentral:lncRNA from 1 species
GCUCCUACCCUGCACCAAUGGAACCCACGAAGAAGGUAUACAAGCUAAGUGGAACCAGGAAACUGCAACAAACUGCAACAACUGAGUCCCAACACAACAUUUCAGAGUGCCUGUCAGCGAUGUCCACUUCAGAAUGGCCUAUCUCAAAUUCAAGUGUAAAGUGGGACAGAGACCUCUCUUCUCAAUGCCCUGGGAUGUCAUUGUUUGCAAAACAGGUGGCCUUGAGAACUCACCUGCUUGUAGGUACCUGGAUUAUGGUGUAUACAGAAGCUGGAGAACAUGCUGGACACGGGACCUUCCUGACAUCCUCCUGUGUCACAUUUCAAUGAAAGCUGCACAGUCACUGUUCCCUGGGACCAUGCCCCGUCAGCUGUCUGUCCCGAGCAGAGGCAACACUAGCCUCUGACUUCUCUUCUUCAGCACCGUUGAGAACAUUCUCUUCAACCAACAGACUCCGUCCAUUAAACUUUUCCUCCAUGUCUUCAGACUCAUCCUUCUGUUCAUGCUCCUACCACUCCCCGCUUCAGGGGCCAUGCCACUCUACUGGAAGCCAGAGUAGGCUCCAGGAGACACCCUGGCCUUUUUAUUCCACAUUCAUACGCCCUGCAUAGGGCAGCACACGCUUUUAGCCUAGAAGUCACAAACUGUGGCCUUGGGAUGCACCCAAUAAAGAGACGUGUUAGGU